rnacentral:rRNA from 1 species
GUGGGUGUAGCGUACCUACUAGCCUACGACGGGUACGGGUUGUGAGAGCAAGAGCCCGGAGAUGGAUUCUGAGACACGAAUCCAGGCCCUACGGGGUGCAGCAGGCGCGAAAACUUUACAAUGCCGGCAACGGCGAUAAGGGAACCUCGAGUGCCAGGUUACAAAUCUGGCUGUCGUGAUGCCUAAAAAGCAUUGCAUAGCAAGGGCCGGGCAAGACCGGUGCCAGCCGCCGCGGUAACACCGGCGGCUCGAGUGGUAACCGUUAUUAUUGGGUCUAAAGGGUCUGUAGCCGGCCGGAUAAGUCUCUUGGGAAAUCCAGCAGCUCAACUGUUGGGCUUUCAGGAGAUACUGUCUGGCUCGAGGCCGGGAGAGGUGGGAGGUACUUCAGGGGUAGGGGUGAAAUCUUGUAAUCCUUGAAGGACCACCAGUGGCGAAGGCGUCUCACCAGAACGGACCUGACGGCAAGGGACGAAAGCUAGGGGCACGAACCGGAUUAGAUACCCGGGUAGUCCUAGCCGUAAACGAUACUCGCUAGGUGUCGGCCACGGUGCGGCCGUGGUCGGUGCCGUAGGGAAGCCGUGAAGCGAGCCACCUGGGAAGUACGGCCGCAAGGCUGAAACUUAAAGGAAUUGGCGGGGGAGCACCACAACGGGUGGAGCUUGCGGUUUAAUUGGAUUCAACGCCGGAAAUCUUACCGGGACCGACAGCAAUAUGAAGGCCAGGCUGAAGACUUUGCCGGAUUAGCUGAGAGGUGGUGCAUGGCCGUCGUCAGUUCGUACUGUGAAGCAUCCUGUUAAGUCGGGCAACGAGCGAGACCCACGCCCACAGUUGCCAGCGUACUCUCCGGAGUGACGGGUACACUGUGGGGACCGCCGCUGCUAAAGCGGAGGAAGGAAUGGGCAACGGUAGGUCAGUAUGCCCCGAAUAUCCCGGGCUACACGCGAGCUACAAUGGUUGGUACAAUGGGUAUCUACCCCGAAAGGGGAUGGAAAUCUCCUAAAACCAAUCUUAGUCCGGAUUGAGGGCUGCAACUCGCCCUCAUGAAGCUGGAAUCCGUAGUAAUCGCGUUUCAACAGAACGCGGUGAAUACGUCCCUGCUCCUUGCACACACCGCCCGUCAAACCACCCGAGUAGGGUCUGAAUGAGAGCGCUUCCUCUGGAGGCGUUCGAAUUUGGGCUUUGCAAGGGGGGUUAAGUCGUAACAAGGUA